rnacentral:lncRNA from 1 species
UUGGAGGCGUUGGUGGCGUUGGUUGGAGCCACACAGGGCCACAGCGAGCGGACGCCGGACAAGCGCAUCAUCAACAGGCGUCGUUGGAACCCCACAAGCGAUGCACCAGCAUUUUCUGCUUCUGUUCAACGUGUGGUGCGUUCGCGCCUCUCAAAUUUACGUGGACGGCGUACAUAAAGCGGACAAAACAACGUGAUCAGUAUUCAAAGUGACCUACAAUUAUGUACCUAAUCAACGGCAGAAGGGUAUACCGGAUCGUUGGCCUGGUAAGGGCCACUUUUUCAUAUAAGGUGAUCAAAUAAUGUGCUGCCUGCGACACAAGUUGGACAAGUUUCUCCUAGGGCACAUACCCAUGAAACAAAAACCUCUAUAAACGUCUUUAAAACGUUUGAUAACGGUAUCGUGUUUUAUUGGCGUGAUCUUCCUCCUUAAUUUUGAAUGUUUGUUUAUCCUCGCUGAACUGCUUCUCUUUACUAUUACACGCUGUUUCAAGAAUCAACGCACUUUCUUAGCGAGAUGUACGAGGACACGCGAAAAUUCCGGGGCCGUAAGCAAAAACGAUGCAGAUGGCUGCAUCGGAAAUUUCUCCGGCAUCUGUGUCAGGAAUGUUGAUUUGCGCGGUUUGUCAAGGCUCUGAUGACAGCAAGGCGCAC